rnacentral:lncRNA from 1 species
AUUUAAAUUUUAUAGUCAUGUAAUUAGGUUAAUUUUUACAUGUAUUUUAAUUUACUGAUAAUAAUGUAAAUGAAAAAUCUUAGUUGAUAAAAACUUUAUUUAAAACAUGUAAAGAAUCAUAUAGUUCAAAACUGCAAAAAUAAAAGACAAUUUCUUGUAACUUAAAAAUAAAGUAUAUAUCUAGAAACCACCACAUUAACAUCUACUAUUUAUAGUACAAUCUCCAAUUCAAAGCUAAUCUUUGUAUUUCUGUAUUUUGCAACUUUUGAGCUAGAAUCUUCCUCCCUAUCCAACUAUACUGUUAUGUAACCCCAUUGUUUUAACAUUUAACAAUACAACUUGGGUAUUCUCUGACAAGCAAGAAUAUAUACUAUUGAUCACUUCUAUACACAAAAUAAAAACAGUUCAAAUGACUAGAAACUAAUUUUACAAAAGAAAAAAAAACAGGUUAGUAAAACAUUUCUUUUGAAAACAAUGGGUGAAUUAGUAUUCUGAAUUGAGCUAGAGCACAUUUUUGCUUGAAGACUCUCCAUAUUAGGCACUAUGCAUUUAUAUAGUACAGAACAUUUGCAAAAUGCUUUUCACCAUUUAUUAGGACUCACAACACCUGGGCGCUGGGGAAUAGCCGGACUACCUCAGUUUACACAGGGAGAACCAAGGCACACUGUGAGAUCUUGCCAGGGCCAGAGUGAGACCUCAUUAGCUUCUGACUUCUUGUAGGAAGAGCCAGAUGUUUCUUUGUGGAGGACAUUAAUUUGUUUAAUGAUAGGAGUAAAAGUAUGUGAGAUUUGUUGUGGGAAAAUUAGUUUGGGCUCCAUAAAUAAAAAGUUCAGAGCAUGGAUAAAGUAGAGAUUUCACUGUGAAAAGGGUCAAUGAGGAGAAGUUAAAACCAGAUAUAAGGCUCUUUUCAGACAGAUCACUUUUCAGAAAUAAAAAUAGCAAAACGAGAAUAGGAAAAAAAUAGCUAUAGAGUUUUUCAUUUCUAACCCAAGGGGCUUUGAUAAAAUCACUUUAAAAGAAGGAUCUCUCUCUUAAAACAACCCUUAAACAUCUUAUUUUUUCCCCCUCAUAAGACCCCUGUGAGGUAGAGAGCACUUACUUACAGGGAUGAAGCUAAGAAGUAAAGUUAAGAGUUUAAAACCACAUGGAUAGUGAACAGGCUGGAGCAGAUGUUAUGUCUUAAAGCAUUGGCUUAGAAAUAGAAACAGAAGGUAGAGAAUAAACAGGAACUUUUAUGGAUGGACAAGUGGAAUAAUCCAGGGAUCUAGUAGCAACACCAGCUACUUAACAUUUCUUUUAAAAAGGACUUGGAAUUUCAAGUAUGUGAUGAGGCCUAAAAUGACAAACACUUGUCUGGGUAUUGAAAUGCUCAGCUGAAGGGAAUAUAUGCAAUAUGUUCUCAUAAGACCAUGUGGGAAAAAGCAGAGGCAUAAAAGAGCUACAACCUGGACAAGUGCAAACUAAUGCAUUUAGGACAAACUGCUGUUACCUGUAGUUAAAAUAUAAUGGGCACUGAGCCAUCAAUAAGGCUUGAGAGAGGAACUUAAUUUAGCCUGAUCAACAUGCUAGGGUAGGUUUUUAAAAAAUACCAGUCAUUACUGGAAAGGGUAUUUAAAACCAAAACAAUGGCGCCUAUUCACUUGGAAAAUCACGUACAACUCUGGUAUUCAUAGAUCCACUGUGGGUUAUUAGCGGAAAUCAACUUCUGGAAGAGACACCUAAAACAUCUCUUCAUGGCUGACAGACACAUCUGUAGUAGGAUAGGACACAGUUCUAAGCCAGCAUAGCAAAUCUGAUGUUCUGGAUCUCCAGGGAGGCUUUCCCUCAAGGUCUCUAAUCAACUUUCACAGUCAAAUUCCAUACCAUGAUAAUAAAUACAACCAAUUUAGGUCAUGGUACCAAGGAUCCUGCUGGGUCACAGGGCACCUGAUUAUAGGAACUUUAUAAAUUGUAUUGCUGGGAAAAACCACAAGAGGACAACUGUUUGGUUUCCCAUCUUUUGAUGCAGCAAAAGAAUGAUAUAGCUCACCUGGGUUUUGUUUAUUAAAGAUUGUGUGGGAUGGCAUUUAUAAUCUAAUCAUCUUAAGUCCAUGAGUACAUCUCCUUGGGUCCAGCUGAUAUGCCUCUUCUAUAAAUCAUGUGCUAGUGGCAGCUGUAAACACAGCUACAGAAUGGGAGCAUUUAGAGGACAGUACCCUGCCCAUUUUCAACUCAUGGAAAUGUUGUUUUCAGGAAAUAUAUAUGGCAAUAAUAUUCAAAACAUCUAUUCCUCUGAAAUUAUGGAAGUUAAUCCUAAACCUCACAGCUUUAAGAUACAGAAUGUAACUAGUACUUUUUGAUGUAGGGAGGCAUGUUGUUUGAUAUAUAUCAUAACCUCAGCCCCCACACACUGACUAGAAUAUUCCGGGGGAAGGAUUAAUGGGAUGGAUUUAUUCAUAACUAACGGAAUGGAGAAUGUUUUUAUUUGUCAAUGGUAGAUCCUCUCUCCUUGAGACCCAGAGGGAACUUAUAUGUCAUUGCCCCAAUUGAAAACUUGGCUGACUGAAUCUGCUAGAAUAUUGCUGGAUUCACUUCUAAUAACUCUUCUAGGUAGGAUAAUGUUGGGUUGCACAGAAGGACAGAAUUGGGACUUUUUCAAGCUUACAGGACAGGUUGCAUGACUGUUCUGGUGCCUGCUUGCUCAUAAACACACAUGACGCAGCACUUGGUCUAAGACCUGAUUUCAGUGUAAAGUACCACCUGGUGAGGUUGGGAGCCCUAUAGCCCUCACACAUUUCUAUCUACUGAAGGCUACCAAAACAACCUAAUAAUUGUGAGCGCCCAAACUGGCAAAGGCCAGGUUAUAAUUUUCUCUAGUGGAGGAAACCCAAUAUUUUUAUAGAUAUAACAAUAUUAAUCCAGUCAUAGUCUACAGUUGAAAUAAGCCUGCAAAUAGCAGCUUCUAGUUUAAUGGGGAUGAAAGUCCCUGGUCCUGCUAUAAGGUCUGCAAAUGACUUCAGAAUGAAGGAAGGUCCUUGUCAGCCAAACACAGGAAGAAGAGAACCACAGAGCUGAGCCACGGGUGGGGACUGUGACAUUUCUAUUUGAUGCUUUUCUAUUCUUCUGUCUUUUUGGCUUCUUUCCAGUUGUCCAGUAUAGGAGUGUCGCCACUCCUGGGAGUUCAGUAAAGGUGAAACAAACACAGCAAUGAGCAUAUCGAACAACUAAGUUGAGGGAGAGAUGUUAGAGAGAAGUUUGUGCCCACUAAAAUUGAGCCAACUGAGAUGGAGUGGUUAUAAUUAUUUGGUUGGUUGUUUUUAUAGCUAUGGGUAAUCUAAUGAAUAUGAGAGUCUGAGCAUUUGAAUUACCCAUAGUAAAGUAAAAAAAAAGAGCAUAUGUACUUGCUUUUGUCUUAAUAAACAUUUCUUAUGGUUUUAUUCCAUAUACUCUCUUAUAUCUUUGCUUUAAAAAUAAUUUAAAAACUAUGUUCCCCACUCCCCAAAAGCAGAUUUGAAAGAAGUAACAGCCAACUGAUGCUCAGCAUGCCCUAUGAUUGUACAGCAGGGGAGUAUGGGCCUGUCUGUCCCACAGGAGCUCCUGGGAAGAGGGCAAAACAGGAGUCUGGUUCUAUUCCUUGAGAUGAUUCAUGUAAGGUAUUUGCCCUAGAACCCAAUCCAUACUACGUACUCAAUGAUGUUAUUUGUUAUUAGUAGUAAUUUUUAAAAUAAGAGCAAAUACUGGUAAUAGUAACAUGCAUUUUCAAUUCUAGCUAAAGCCUAAGCAGCUAAGAUUCAGACAAAAAGCUUUUCACAUGACAAUUAUUUGUUAUAGUAAAAGGAAGUUCUCUAACUUGCACUUGGCUAUACGUGAAUUCGAUCAAACUGAAUUUUUCAUUUUGCCACUUGGUAAUCCCUAGGGAAACUACAGUAUUCUAAAUGCUGGCAAGGGCCCUGGACAUUUAGGUUCAAUAUGCAACAAUAACAGAGUCAUAGGCAUUUGUCAGUUUGAAGGAAAAUUACAAUUCUCCAAUUUCCCAUCCAUUAUCAUCUUCUUUAACUCUCACCACAAUUCUGAGAGGUUGCAAAUGAUACCCCAGACAGGUUAAGUGACUUGCCUGUUUGAAUGGCUAGAAAGAGGUGAAGUUGGGAGUACCUGUUUUGAUUCUUGGUAAAUGGUCUAUCUUCCAAACUCCAGGGAAUGAGGCUUAAAGGAAGGCUCUACUGUAUAUAAAGAAUAGCACCGGAAAACCAGCAUAGUGCAGGAAAAGAGUGAAAAAUGGAAAACCAAAUAGUGAAUUUUAGACUACUGUGAAAGAGGUCUUAGGAAAUCAUUUGCAAUAGCAGGAUGAAGAAACUAUCUUGUCCCUUUAAGUAAACAAGCCCAUAGGAAAGUAAUGGGGAAACCAGUUCAUUGUAGUUUUCAGCACAUUUCUUAAGUAUCUAUUAUGUACAUGUUACACAGAAGCAUAGCCCCGGUAAGAAUUUUAUAUUACAUACCCCAAAGAGCAUGGACUUCUUAUACCAUUGCAUGUGGUGUGCAAAGAACACGGUGAUCUGCUACUGUAGCAACAAUGCAUACUCCAAGGCAUACUCUUGGGCUGCCUACAAAAUAGGCAAUAAAGGCUGUGCGUUUAAGGUAAGCAUGCACACCCCACCCAGAAGUGCAGAGCUGCAACCAUAAGUAGAUAAGCGCUCUGAGGAUUUAUUUCUGUUUCAGAGUGUUUUACUAAACAAGUUAUGGAAAGAGCAUCUAAUAUCAGCUAUGGAUUAUUCCCUAAACCUCAAUCGCUGACCUUUAAGAACCUAACUUCCAAAUUUAAAUGGCAUUGUCAAGUAGUCUAGGCUCCAAAUUUAGAGACCAACAGGCUACUUUUGGAUGGCAAUUUUUGGUAGAGAGGCCUGGUUGAUCAAACCCUUUUAAAGCUGCUUUCUAUUUAGCCCAGUUUUUAGAGAGAACAGAUGGAAGGCACCAGGAUAAGCUAUUAUAGAGCUUCUAUGACCUGUGUAAAGGGCCAAGAGCUAUAACAUCUACCAGUUUGUUAAAGAAGUAUCCUAGCUGACACAAGGCAAAGAAGAUACUGAACUCACUGGCUGCAGGAGAGGUGAGACUACAUCCUGAAAUUUCUUUUCCAUAACUACACUGAGAAUUUUAAAAGGUAGACAGUGGGUUCCUCAAGGUAUGGAGGGUGCUGAAGACAGGCCACAGGGCUCCUGAGAACCAGUGUUUCCAGAUCCCUUUCUCUGGUGCAAAUGAAGACAGCUACUCCCCUGGGUCUAUAGUAUGCUUUUGUGAACUAAUUCAACAAUUUACUUCCCAGCAGGACCCUGGAAACCAUCCCCAACAUGUAAGACAUUGACAUUUUUAAAGCUUUCUAAAGGAGCUGACAUACCCCCUUAUUGCCUCCAUAACAUCCAGUGUUUAUGAAACACUUCCCUGUCAAGCAGAGCUCUGAUCACAGCCAUCCUCCUAUCGGAAGACAAAUGCCAGGAUUCCUACACCUUCAGUUAUACUAACUCAGCGUUGGCCUUCCAAAUAAUAAAGUUGAAUAUUUUCUUUGCUACAAAGGGCAGUACACUCCUACUCUGAGGUAGCACAGUAGCAAUGGGCGUCCUUGAAAUUCACCCUUUGAUCCUUACAGCUACAGACUUUAAAACUGCUAAUUACCUAGCUAAAGCAUUGAGUUGAAAUCUAAGCAUCCUGUCUCCCAGAGUUGCUGGUCACUCGCGUAAAUGGGGGAGAAUAUAUUUCGGCUGUAGAACUACCUAGAUAAUUUGAUAAAGCAUGGCAACUAGAAAGAAGAAACAAACACACAAAGAAGAACUAGAGCCAGCACGACAUAAAUCAUAACGUAUCUUUGGCAUCUCAUUAGAAAUCUAUGCUAACAUUCUCCUCUACCCUUGAAGUUAGGUUGGAAAUAUACUUAAUGUAUUUUAUUGCUUAUGUCACUCUUUCCUAAACACUCUGUAGUAUUUUCUAUACCUCUGACACACCUCUAACCUUCCAGAAUACAAAGUAAGAUGCUUUCCUUAAGAUGUGAGGGAAGCGAUGGACAUUCAUGUGAAACUACAUUCCUUCCACCUCUGCUCUGUAAUUAUCUCACUGUAAUUACUACUGUCAAUCUCAGGGAUGGAAAGCUGGCAAAGGGAGAUGAGAAAACUCAAGACACAUUUACAGACACUAAAGUGUUGCGGGAUACCCUAGUAGAUAAGUCAUUAUAUUAUUUACUUUUUAGCAUCUCUUGACUCUUGGUGACCAGGUAAAGUAGGGGAGAAGGGAUAAAAAACAUGUCAGUUUAACAUACGUGCCAUAUUGAAGUGCCUUUUCUUUUAAGUUUUCUAAAUUUUCACCUGGCUUUUAAGAGCAGAAGUUAUUUCAUGGUGACUUUCCAGCAGGCUUUUCUGAGGUAGAUAAAACAUGGAUGAUAAGUAGUCUGAAGAAUGCAGAAGGGGAGGUGAAGACUGUGUGGCUGGGAUUAGUUUGAAAGAAAUUUCAGAAGUGAAAGCUGAGCCUGUCAUGUACAAUACUAGAGAAAAGAGGAACAAGGUUAAAGGCUGUACACCAUUUAAACAAGGUUUUUAGAAUUUAAUAGGUGCAAAAUAGGCUAAUCUAGCUAGUAAAGAACAGGACUGUAGGAACAGUGACAGAGCAAAAGUAGAGCCUUUGUUACAUACAGCUAGUCAAAAGUAGGCAGAAAACAGCAAGAGAUAUGUAUCCCUCAGGACCUCAGUGCUCAACAAAGAAUAUAUAUCAUAAUAACACAAAGGUUUAAAAGCAACCAACAGGCUUGAAGGUUUCAACUGCCUUUUGUUGCUGUUUGGAUGAAAAGCAAAUUUUGCCUCUUUCCUCAGGCCUCUGUUUGUACACAGGUAUUGUAAUUGUAUUAAGCAUGUCAGGGAAAUCCAAAUCCCAGCUAAAUAAUUAGUGAAAUAGAUUCUGAACUCAUUUUUAUGCCUGUGUGAAUUACAGAUGAACAGGCUAGCAUGCCUGAGACCCAACGAGGUUAAUAGUAUCAGCUGGGGCCUUUCUUUCUGGAGAAUCACUGCAGUUAUCACAGGCAGAUGCUGUACUGUUAAAUGAAAAUGCCAUUGUAGGCCAAAUGUUAGCAGUUAAAUACCAUCAUCACAGAAACACACAAAGCUAUAGUCAAGUUCACAAACACAGCUGGUGGUUAAGAAACGCUUAAUGAAGAAAAGAAAUUUGCUAUUGGCUUUACGUCAUUCAUUAAGACUUCCAAUACCCUUAGAGUGGGACUGUUC